GAUCCUUGCCCCUAGACCCAGCAGAGGACGGUGCGCGUCCAUCCUAUGGGACACGGCCGUAACCCCUUCCCCAGCCCCCACUUUAGCACACCCUGCAGAGCAGAGGCCUGACCUGAGCUGGCUCUAAACAGCUCCCUGAGGCUGGAGGCCAGACAGCCACAAGCCAGGAGCAAGAUUCUAGAAUACAAAGCUAUUAUAAUAAGGAGUUUCUCUGCAAGGCCAAAAGCCUCAGACAUUAAUAGAGGCAGAAGAUGAGUUGCAGACCCUGAAGGUAGGAGAGAGGGGGAUGAACCCAAGUCUCCAGGGGAGACUUCUGGAGGAAGUGGGAAGUGGGAUGAAUAAACGGUGGACCAGGGGAAGCCAGAGAGGGUCUGGAGUGUAUGGGGUGGCAUGGCGUGGCUGGGGGGGCGGGGGGAAUGUUAGAAGUUCAUCUCCCAACGCUGCCCUCUGACUGCCUCCAGGGGGCCAUUAAACUGGACCACACUACCUCCCGGGGUGAAGGGACUAAGGUGCUGACAGUCCGCUCUGAUUUCUUUUAAAGAUAGGAUUCAGAAUGCCAGGUAGCUUGGCUGCUCAUCACUGCUUAUGAUUCUGAUCUUGGUCACACCGUAGAUGUAUAAUAAGGAGCCACUGAGGAGCUGUCAGGGUCCUCUUUUUCCUUCUGUACUCGUCUGCAUGUCUGGAGAAUGCUUUGAAUCACAAGAGAAAAACACAAGAUGCGUGUGUUCUGCACAGUUAUUGAUCGACACCAGGCAGUGGCAGCCAGACUGGGAAGAGCCCUCACUGACCCCUUAGCCAAGCCCUUUUUCCUACGGCCUGGUGGGUCCUCUCUGGAAACAAUCAGGCCAGCUUCCUGCUCUGUCAAGGAGCACAGCAAUGGGGCUCCUCUGUUUUGAGGACUUCCUGCAAGCCCUCCAGCCUACCACAAAGUCAGGGCUCCUUGGCUUUGACAGCUAUCCUUCCUCCAGGAGGGCUGUCCCUUCCAAAGGUAUCAGGGGCAGCUGACCUCAGAGACUGGCAUCCCAGGGUCCCAACUGGAGGCUUUUCCCUCUGUAAGGAGGCGGAGCUGGUGACAGGAAUACUAACCACCAGCAGGGCACUACUGCUGAGGCCAGAGCUGGGGCUUCAAGGAGGAAAAGGCAGGUGCAGUCCUCCACUUACAGCCCCGCUCGGCGAGCAGGACCACGCUCCCUGCCAAACUCAUCCUCAUCGAAGUGGGCCCUCCUUGACCUUCACAGAACACGGGUCAGUCCACUCCUCCCCAAGCCCUGGCUUCCCCAGAUACAUAGAUACGCUCUAGCCUGGUUGUGGAGGACCAGGUUGGGGGUGAGAGGAUUAGAAGAGAACCUCUGUGCACUCUGCUGUCCUCCCUAGAAGAGGGGUGAAACGGAAGCAAAGCGGGCGAUUUCUCCAGGUAAUCUUCAACCCUCUCCUCCCCCACCCACGCACCUGGGGCAGGAAAUCAGCUGGUGGCAACAGAGCCCCCCACACCAGAGGCUUCCUGGAACAACCCCGAGCAAGGGCACACAGCAGGAAGAGGAGACUCCAGGGCAGGGACACAAAUGCUCUCCUAAAGGGCCCAACCCGGGCGAGUCGCACAAAGUGGCAGGGAGGGCAGGGCAUUCCCUCCCCCUCUCCCAACUCUUGGAUGUCAACAUCAAGGCUGGACCAUGGCGAGGGACUCUGGUCUGGGUCCUACCCUCCCCCACUGUAAGCUCCAGCAGGCUGGCCACCCUGGAAAAGGCUCAGGCCUGCUAGACCCCAGCAGGGGCUGAUGGCAAGGGGCUAAGCUAGGGUGCCUGCAAGUCCCACCCAUGCAUACCAAAGGAAAGAGGAGAUAUGCUCCAGAACUUCAGGCCACAGUCUUUGCGGCCCAGAGUUGAAGGACUGGACUUAAAAAUCCACCAUCUAUCCCCAGAUCCUGUUAGGGAUGUGAGAAUAGGGGAGAGAAUACCAGGAAAGAGGUCACAAUCCAACCACGAGCACUGCAAAUCCAUAAGACAGGGGCCCCGGCAGCAGGGGAAGUGACUGCUUCAGUGGAAAGGAAAGCUGCAAGACAGUCUGUGGAGUCACUGCAUAGGCACAAAGGCCCUCUGCAAACCAGAGGGCAGCGGCACAGUGACCUGGCUGGCAUACUGAAACAGGCUCAGCCCAAAGCUCCAACACACAAGACAAGCUAAGCCCCUGAGAAUGCUGUGAGAGCUUCUGGGACAUGAGGCCCUGGGUGCAGCAGCCUCGGGUCUCAGAGGCUUCCCUGUCCCAGCCUGGCGGCCAGAGGUCAGAGCAGCUCGCUCGCCUCGCUAGUGCUGGCAUCACACUCAAAGGUACAGGUGAAAACAUGGUUCUUUCUCAUCAUCAGCCCCAGUCAUGGACCUCGCCUCCUCCACCGGGCUGGUAUGACCUCUGCCUGUAAUCUUUCAGUCCUCCUGCCCAGCCAAGCUACCAAGGUGGGGUGUCCGCCAGAACCACUGGGGCCAGGCAAUAUGAUGACAGCAACAGUCCAGGCUGCAGGUAUGGAGGCCUACUUUGUACCAGGCAAAUCCCUCCAAAGGGCUCCUAUGUUAUCAGUGGGGUAGGGACACCACAACUGACCAUUUGACCCCCCCCUUCCCUUUUUUUUUUUUUUUUUUUUGAGAUGAAGUUUUGCUCUUUCACCCAAGCUAGAGUGAAAUGGCAUGAUCUCGGUUCACUGCAACCUCUGUCCCCGGGUUCAAACUUCCAUCAACUAGGCCAACUUCUUAUCAGUUUCUAUUCUUGUGGCCCAGUGGGAGGAUGGAACCAGGUGGGGAGACUUCUAUAGUUUCUGCCAAGAUCAAAUGUUGGAGAAAGCCUUUUGUAUGGCAGUUCGUGGGCUAAACUGGCCUGAGCAGCAUGGCAAGAGUAAUGUCUUUUGGAAAGGUCAGCCUGUGGCAGCUAUGCUCAUGGAAACUCAAGGAAGGUGUUUGCAUCCAUGCUUCUACCAGAAGACUAAAAGGAAGCCAUGUCCUCCCACCCAGCCCUCCAGAGUGAAGGGUCUCGCUCUGUCGCUCAGGCUGGAGUGCAGUGGCGC